GACAGACAGACACACACACACAGAGGGAUAGACCCCACCUGCCAAGAUUAGAGGGUGAAUAAAGACCUCUCCUCACAUUACCAGAGCUCUUGUAACUGAACAUCUGAACUUGCAUAUCACAGGCAUACUUGAAGAGGCAAAUUUCUAUUUGCAAAACUGUUAGAAGAAAUCAAAUACUUCAGAUGAGCAGAAUCCCAAAGAGAAGAAUUCUGUCAGAUUAUUGCAUGGAAACAAUCGAAUAAGAGACUCAAUGGAAUUUAUGAAUAUAAAAGCAAAUUUUUAAAAAUAAAACAGUGAAUACUGCUUGGUGUUUCACAUAACAGUUGCCUCUACCUUUAAGGACAGAUUUUGGGCCCUAAAAUUGCAGAGCAUGCAAAUGUCUGCCUCUUUCUUACCCAAGUACCGGAAUGGUGCAAGAUUUCAGGCAUAGCUUCUAUUGUAUUUUAUCUACCAUGAGUGGGACUAUUCCAGCACGAGGGGCCAAACAUUUCCUAGACCUGUGAGACCUGAGAGACCUUGUGCACAAGUGCAAGCACUCCAGUUCUGCUGGUGAGCAGGAAGCAGGACAGCUGGAGAAGCAGCUUAGCAGGGUUAGCACAAUGCUGUGUCAAAGGUUCCAUGCUCUGCAGGGCUCAGAGCCUGGCUGAAGGCAGAUAAACCUACAAAUAAUUACUGUGUGGGGUGUUGGACCUGCUGUGCCAUGCUCUUGGAAGUGAGGCAUGGUGGAGUCUAAAAUGCAUGUCAAAAUUUUCAUGAGAUCUUGUCCUUGGAUGCUUAAAUAAAUGUAUCAUCAUGGAAAUAAAAAGUGAAGAAUUAGCUGAAUAUCAGUGUUAAAAAGUCAGUGAUUACCUGUUGAAACACAAUUGUACUUGGUGUUUUUGGGGGUGCCAAGUAUCUGCUCUUUUGGAAAGAAUAUUCAUCAGGUGUGUGAUAACAUCCACAAGUUUCUGAAGAUUUUGAC